rnacentral:rRNA from 1 species
ACGAACGCUGGCGGCAGGCCUAACCCCUGCAAGUCGCGCGAGGACUUCGGUUCUAGCGGCGGACGGGUGAGUAACGCGUGGGAAUGUGCCCUUCUCUACGGAAUAGCCCUGGGAAACUGGGAGUAAUACCGUAUACGCCCUAUUGGGGAAAGAUUUAUCGGAGAAGGAUCAGCCCGCGUUGGAUUAGGUAGUUGGUGGGGUAAUGGCCUACCAAGCCGACGAUCCAUAGCUGGUUUGAGAGGAUGAUCAGCCACACUGGGACUGAGACACGGCCCAGACUCCUACGGGAGGCAGCAGUGGGGAAUCUUAGACAAUGGGGGCAACCCUGAUCUAGCCAUGCCGCGUGAGUGAUGAAGGCCUUAGGGUUGUAAAGCUCUUUCAGCUGGGAAGAUAAUGACGGUACCAGCAGAAGAAGCCCCGGCUAACUCCGUG